GCACCUCCCACUUUGCUCUCGCUCUGUUCUGCUGGCCAUGAGAAAAUGUACCUCUUUCCCCUUUGUCUUCCGCCAGGAUUUUAAGUUUCCUAAGGCCUCCUCAGCCAUGCUUCUGGUACAACCUGCAGAAUGAAAUCAGAUUCCUGGUGCAGGCAGUUCAUUGCUUGAACAUGCAGUAAUGGACACAUCCAGAUUCCUAACACCGGGGAGUUCAGAGGCAAUCAACAUGGACUGAGACACUUAAGCUUCAUCUUGUGCUGAUUGAGCACUGAGGGAGCUGGGUUUAGAGCCUUCCCUUGGAAUGAAGAACCCUCCCCAGCUGGAAGGGGAUGCUCUUGAAGGCUCAGCUGACAACACACAUGGGCAUCAAGUCAUUGGCCACAUUCAUGCCUCAAGUGUCCUAAAACCGAAGAUGAUCAAAAGAAAACUUCCAUUCAGCAAGUGGAGACUGGCAUGCAGAUUCCCCGGCCUGCAAGCUUAGGG